UCGCCUGUUUAUCAAAAACAUGUCUUCUUGAUUAUAAUUWGAAGUCUGACCUGCCCNCUGAAUUUUUAUAUUUUGAAGGSCCGCGRGUAUUUUGACCGUGCAAAGGUAGCAUAAUCAUUAGUCUUUUAAUUGAAGGCUAGAAUGAAUGGUUGGACGAGGCACUGACUGUCUCGGUGUGAUUGAGAUUAGAAUUUAACUUUUAAGUUAAAAGGCUUAAAUGUAUUUAAAGGACGAGAAGACCCUAUAGAGCUUUAUAUUUUUAUUUUAUUAUUUGUUUAGGUAAAUUUUUAUAAUAUUAGAAGAAGUAUUUUGUUGGGGUGACAAGAAGAUAAGAAAAACUCUUUUUAGUUUGAUUACAUUGAUGUAUGAAUUGUUGAUCCAUUAUUAUUGAUUAUAAGACUAAGUUACCUUAGGGAUAACAGCGUAAUCUUUUUCGAGAGUUCUUAUCGACAAAAAGGGUUGCGACCUCGAUGUUGGAUUAAGGGUAAUUUUGGGUGUAGAUGUUCAAAGUUUAGGUCUGUUCGACCUUUAAAUCCUUACAUGAUCUGAGUUCAAACCGGAGA
rnacentral:rRNA from 1 species